GGGGGCGUAGCUCAGAUGGUAGAGCGCUCGCUUAGCAUGCGAGAGGUACCGGGAUUGAUACCCGGCGCCUCCA